AGCUUUGUGCAAUGGCGGUAUGGUAGCUAAUGAGUUUUAUCCAAGGAGCGAUUAUUGCUAAUUGAAAACUUUUCCCAAUACUCCACCAUGACGAUUUCAAAUACAGUCGGCAUUGGCGAGUUUUGACAGUCUCUAGGAGA